rnacentral:sRNA from 1 species
GGCGGCGUGCUGCUCAGCCCGUUUCUGAUCUACGUGUUGAUGGCGCUGUUGCUCACCGGCGUGCUGCGCCUGGUGGUCCAGGCCACCCCCCUGGGGCGCUGGAUCUGGCAUGAAGCGCUGUUCGACGCGGCGUUG